rnacentral:rRNA from 1 species
UACGGGGGGGGCAAGCGUUGUUCGGAAUUACUGGGCGUAAAGGGCUCGUAGGCGGCCAACUAAGUCAGACGUGAAAUCCCCAGGCUCAACCUGGGAACUGCGUCUGAUACUGGAUGGCUUGAAUCCGGGAGAGGGAUGCAGAAUUCCAGGUGUAGCGGUGAAAUGCGUAGAUACCUGGAGGAAUACCGGUGGCGAAGGCGGCAUCCUGGACCGGCAUUGACGCUGAGGAGCGAAAGCUAGGGGAGCAAGCGGG